rnacentral:rRNA from 1 species
GAAGGGAGCUUGCUCCCGGAUGUUAGCGGCGGACGGGUGAGUAACACGUGGGUAACCUGCCUGUAAGACUGGGAUAACUCCGGGAAACCGGAGCUAAUACCGGAUAGUUCCUUGAACCGCNNGUUCAAGGAUGAAAGACGGUUUCGGCUGUCACUUACAGAUGGACCCGCGGCGCANAGCUAGUUGGUGGGGUAAUGGCUCACCAAGGCGACGAUGCGUAGCCGACCUGAGAGGGUGAUCGGCCACACUGGGACUGAGACACGGCCCAGACUCCUACGGGAGGCAGCAGUAGGGAAUCUUCCGCAAUGGACGAAAGUCUGACGGAGCAACGCCGCGUGAGUGAUGAAGGUUUUCGGAUCGUAAAGCUCUGUUGUUAGGGAAGAACAAGUGCGAGAGUAACUGCUCGCACCUUGACGGUACCUAACCAGAAAGCCACGGCUAACUACGUGCCAGCAGCCGCGGUAAUACGUAGGUGGCAAGCGUUGUCCGGAAUUAUUGGGCGUAAAGGGCUCGCAGGCGGUUUCUUAAGUCUGAUGUGAAAGCCCCCGGCUCAACCGGGGAGGGUCAUUGGAAACUGGGNAACUUGAGUGCAGAAGAGGAGAGUGGAAUUCCACGUGUAGCGGUGAAAUGCGUAGAGAUGUGGAGGAAC